rnacentral:rRNA from 1 species
CUAAUACCGGAUAUGACUCCACGACGCAUGUUGUGGGGUGGAAAGCCUUGUGCGGCUAGGGAUGGGCCCGCGGCCUAUCAGCUUGUUGGUGGGGUGAUGGCCUACCAAGGCGACGACGGGUAGCCGGCCUGAGAGGGCGACCGGCCACACUGGGACUGAGACACGGCCCAGACUCCUACGGGAGGCAGCAGUGGGGAAUAUUGCGCAAUGGGCGAAAGCCUGACGCAGCGACGCCGCGUGAGGGAUGACGGCCUUCGGGUUGUAAACCUCUUUCAGCCCCGACGAAGCGAAAGUGACGGUAGGAGCAGAAGAAGCACCGGCCAACUACGUGCCAGCAGCCGCGGUAAUACGUAGGGUGCAAGCGUUGUCCGGAAUUAUUGGGCGUAAAGAGCUCGUAGGCGGUCUGUCGCGUCGGCUGUGAAAACUCGGGGCUCAACUCCGAGCUUGCAGUCGAUACGGGCAGACUAGAGUUCGGCAGGGGAGACUGGAAUUCCUGGUGUAGCGGUGAAAUGCGCAGAUAUCAGGAGGAACACCGGUGGCGAAGGCGGGUCUCUGGGCCGAUACUGACGCUGAGGAGCGAAAGCGUGGGGAGCGAACA